CUCUGAGAUCUAUUUCGCUCUCACCAGCUCUCUCUUCAUUUUUGUUCUAUAAUAUCGAUAACAAAACCUAUCAAUCGAUACUGUCUUCUGAAAUAAAAAAUAAAGUAUCGAUACUGUCAUUAAUUGUUUGUCUGUUCUUGUUGGAAACAGAAAUUCCAUAAAUUGACUUGUGAAAAAUGGCUACCUUGGAAGAUAAAUUAAUGGGAGAAAAGCUUGAAUAUUAUUGUUCAAGCAGUGAAGGUGAAUAUGAACCAGAUGAUGAUGAUGCCGAUGAAAAGGGAGGUGCCCGGGCCGCUCAAGGUCCCCAGGCAUUCAUUGAUCCCGAUGUAUGCCCUCCACCCCCCGCAGCGGGGUAUCGUUCUAUGGGCUCCACCAAUACCGGGCCCAAAGGUGUUGUGGAAGACUGGCAACGAUUCAAACAGCUGCAGGCGGAACGUCGCGAAGAAAGCGAUAGACAGCGCAUUGAAUUGGCCAAAAAAUUAACGAUGACUACUGCCACAGCGCAAGAGGAGGAGGAACGAAAGAAACAGGAAGAAUUGGAAGCUGAAUUUGCCGAGCUAAUGUCCGAGGACUUUCUGCAGCAGUAUCAAAAACAACGCAUGGCCGAGAUGAUGCGCCAAUGUGGUCAUAGCCAAAACUUGGCAAAGUUAUGAAAUCUCAACUCCCAUGAAGAGUUUCUCAAUUGCGUGGAAAAAGGAGAACAAACACACAACCAUUAUAAUACACAUUUAUGACAAAUCUGUUUCAGCAUGUGGCACUUUGAACAAAUGUCUGGAUACCCUUGCCACCGAAUAUCCCACAGUGAAAUUUGCCAAGAUUUGUAGUUCAGUGGCGGGCAUGAGUCGAGAUUUCCGUCAAAAAGGUCUGCCAGCCUUGUUGGUGUACAAAGCACAGGCUGUUAUUGGCAAUUUUGUAAGAGUAACAGAUGAUUUGUCCGAUGAUUUCUUCCCUUCGGAUGUGGAAAGUUUCCUUAUUGAGAAUGGCAUUUUGGUGGAUAAAAAUCUCUACAAUCUGGGGCAAUAACAGGCGAUGACAAAUGUAUGUUGUGGACAAACUACUUAACUAAAUGAUAAAAAUAUAUAUCUAUUAUGCGUGUUCAUAAUUGAUGUUGUUCGCCAACCCCCUCCCUCUCUAACAUGGCCAUGGAAUCCCACUGAUGAUAAACGUACCUAAUGAGAUUGCCAGAGCCAAUAUAUUUAUAUCUCAAAUGCCUAGUAUUAUAUAAUACAAUUUUUAUAUUUAGAACUUUAGGGAAUUUUAGUAAUAUUUAUUCCAAAGCCAAAUGGAACUUGAACUUAAUUUUCUGCAAAUGUAUUUUGUGCAUAAAGUAAAAAACCAUAUUUAUUUAAAUAAAGCAAUGCAUGUGUGUAUGUAUAAUGUGACAAGCUA